UAUGGCGAAGGCACUGUACUGGGCUUUUCCUGACGCUCAGAGACGAAAGCUGAAGGAGUGAUUAGGAUUAGAUACCCUAGUAAUUUCAGCCGUAAACGAUGAAAACUCACUGUCGAGCCAAUAUAUGGAGCGGUGGUCAAGCUAACGCGUGAAGUUUUCCGCCUGGGGAUUACGCUUGCAAAAGUGAAACUCAAAGGAAUUGACGGGGACCCGCACAAGCGGUGGAGUAUGUGGUUUAAUUCGAUGCAACGCGAAAAACCUUACCAGGGUUUGAAAUAAUUUCAAAACUUCUUGAAAGAGAAGCCUCCUUCGGGAUGGAAUUACAGGUGGUGCAUGGCUGUCGUCAGCUCGUGUUGUGAAAUGUCAAGUUAAGUCUUGUAACGAGCGCAACCCAUGUCUCUUGUUGCUGUUUACAGUGCUUAAGAGAAACUGCCGAUCAACAUCGGAGGAAGGUGUGGAUGAUGUCAAGUCAGCAUGCCCCUUACAUCCUGGGCUACACACGUACUACAAUGGUCGAGACAAAGGGUCGCUAACCUGCAAAGGCAUGCCAAUCUCAUAAACUCGAUCUCAGUUCGGAUUGUACUCUGCAACUCGAGUACAUGAAGGUGGAAUCGCUAGUAAUCGCUGGUCAGCAUACAGCGGUGAAUACGUUCCCGGGUCUUGUACACACUGCCCGUCACACCAUGGAAGUCGACCCUUCCCUAAGUCGUUACUCGAACC
rnacentral:rRNA from 1 species